UACGUAGGGUGCGAGCGUUAAUCGGAAUUACUGGGCGUAAAGCGUGCGUAGGCGGCGCGCUAAGACAGGUGUGAAAGCCCCGGGCUUAACCUGGGAAUGGCGCUUGUGACUGGCGGGCUCGAGUGCGGCAGAGGGAGGUGGAAUUCCACGUGUAGCAGUGAAAUGCGUAGAGAUGUGGAGGAACACCGAUGGCGAAGGCAGCCUCCUGGGCCGACACUGACGCUCAAGCACGAAAGCGUGGGGAGCAAACAGGAUUAGAUACCCUGGUAGUCCACGCCCUAAACGAUGUCGACUGGUUGUUGGGGAAGGCAACUUCCUUAGUAACGAAGCUAACGCGUGAAGUCGACCGCCUGGGGAGUACGGCCGCAAGGUUAAA
rnacentral:rRNA from 1 species